rnacentral:rRNA from 1 species
CUCCAGCUUUCAGCUGGCGAAUUGUAGUCUAGAGAGGCGAUCUCUGUGGCCGCCCCUGCCCAAAUUCCCUGGAACGGGAUGUCAGAGAGGGUGAGAGCCCCGUCGGCAGGGCGCCGGUCGCUCCACGAGGCGCUUUCGCAGAGUCGGGUUGUUUGGGAAUGCAGCCCUAAUUUGGUGGUAAGUCCCAUCUAAGACUAAAUACUGGCGAGAGACCGAUAGCGUACAAGUACCGUGAGGGAAAGAUGAAAAGAACUUUGAAAAGAGAGUUAAACAGUGCUUGAAAUUGUUGAGGGGGAAGCCAUUGGCGGCUGCGGGUGCACCCAGGCUCAAAGCGCCCCACCGGGCGCCUGAAAGCGCUGGGAGCUGGUCAGCAUGGGCCGGCCCUGCGGGAGAAACCUCUCUGUGUCGAGAGUCUAUGUCGCGGGGGCGGCCGAGGAACGAAGGGCGCUCUGCCUCCGAGCUGCGCCCUCAAGAUGCUGGCGGAAGGCUGCCAAUGGGCCCGUCUUGAAACACGGACCAAGGAGUCUAACAUGUAUGCGAGUUGGUGGGUGGAAAACCCAUGAGCGCAAGUAACCUGACUGGUGGGAUGGCCUGUGCCUGCACCAUCGACCGACCAUGAUCUUCUGUGAAAGGUUCGAGUACGAGCAUACCUGUUGGGACCCGAAAGAUGGUGAACUAUGCCUGAGCAGGGCGAAGCCAGAGGAAACUCUGGUGGAGGCUCGUAGA